GUGACUUCAUUCAGUAUAUGUUACUGCCGCUGUUAGUUUGCGUUAUUGUUUCCGUCUUCCUAAGCUAGAAUGCAACAAUACAGUACAUUUUCUUCUGGAUGCUCCAGAUUCUCCAUCAUAGUGCACAUCUCAGUGGUCAUCAUCCAUCUAAAUAACUGCCUUCUGUUCUGUCUUCGUAGAGAAAUACCGGGAUGGAGUCUGAGCGAUGAAUUCUAGGUGGUGUUUCCUUAGCUACCUGCUGAAUUGCUCAAGAAUCAUAACUUUUUCGUACUGGGAUGCAGUUACAGUUAAGGUGACCUAUUUUCAUUUUUAGCUAGACUAAAUUUGAGUCUUAUUUCUGUCGUCUGAUAUGGUCUAUUUUUGGCAGUGUUACUGUUCUGAAAAUAAAAAUAGUUUCAAACCUUUGAGCCUGCCUACAUUUGAUCCAUAGUUCGUGAAGGCAAGGUAAGGUAACAGUUAUAAAUUCUAAUAUAUGCUUGCAUGCUAAGAUGUGUUCGAUACCAUAUACCUAAUCUCUCAAGGUUGUUUCAUUUAUUGAAAAUUGUUAAGGAUCUGACUACCAUCCAUUUUUGUUUUUAAGAAAGAGAAAAGUUUAGAACUUCAGAUACAUGCCACCUCAAAUACUGCAAUUUGGAGAUAUGAUGUUACAAAAUCUGGGUAUAGAAGGGUCCCAUUGUGAGGUUAACAUGUCUGCACAUAUGCACCACAUCGACCUAUUUGCACCCUUCUUUCCAACCCCUCUUCCUGAAAUCUCCACCCCAUCCCAUGGUUGCCUCACUUCCUCCCUCUAGCAUGUGGGGGUCACAGAGGCACCACAUUGAGCAGACACAGAAAGGCUCAUGCUGCCCAGGUUGAUAAUGCUAAAGCACCUGACAUCUACGUCUGAAAUUGUCUUUAUUUAUUUCAUAUAGUACGAACUGCAGUAACCAAGCACUAAAAGUUUUGUGUCUCGUUUGAACAUUUAGGAUGAACAUUUAGGACAGCAGCAAACAGUGGUAUUUAUAAUGGUUAAUAACUCUGCCAAAAUAACAGCUAUACAGUACGGGUGUAUAUCCAGGUGUCAGAUUAACCAAUCAACAAUUUAGGCUUCAAUCUGCUUUUGGCGCACCAAGCCCUAGUUCUUCUGCAUUUGGUAAACUAAUGCACCCACAAGGAUCACCUGCUGAUCACACAUGAACACAGCCCUGAAUUGGAUCGGCAGCAAGCAGUCAAUUCAGGGUAUUACAUGGAAUCGCCAUUGCGCUUGGUUUGAGGGAAACAGAGAACAGAAUGCGAGUUCAGAUGUGUGGACUUAAUUAGAUUCUCUUGGCUAAACUUGUUAGUGGGGAUUGGGAUUUUCCAUGGGAUGGGUAAUGAAAUUUGAGAGUUCAACUAACUGACUCAAACCUGACUUGCAACGCAACCUGAUCAACAGAUCCAACCAAUACAAGGCCGACAUGUUCCUUUCUUUAAUUCUUUGUGCUUGCAGGCACAUUAACGGACUCAACUAUAUACAUACCAUAAAAGCAACAUCUUUACAAUACAAUGCCAAUUAUGUGAGUGGAAACUUUGUAGUGGCAUUUAUCUAAAUUGCAAUCUUUGCCGUGGCAUGUAUCUCGGUAUUUAAUAAACAAGGGGCCCGUGUUCCUUUGAUUCGGACCAUCCUGAAUGUUGUUGCCAUUUUAUUUACGUCAUCACAAACCUUAGAAUUCUCUUGUUAAUAAAACGGAUCGAUCUUAAUGGAUGGAUUUUCACUUGUAAUUAACUAAUAUAGGUAUAGGUAGAAAAGAACGCGGUAGGCCUUAUAAGACUAGGAAACUCUCUGCCUGGAAACAGCUGAUCAGGCGGGCCUUUAGCUAGGAAACAAACGAAUCGGACUUGGAAUCCCUCCCGUAAACUUUUCUAAUACGUAUCUGUCUGUAGUUAAAUAGCAAUCUAUUUCUAUACCGAUCCUUCCCGGGAAAUUUUACGCACCUAAUACCUUGUUGCAGUUUAAAAUAGCAAUCGGCCCUCGAGCCUCGUCUGUCGCGAACUUGUGAUCUCUGCCAUGUCGCUCGGCGGCGUCCUUCGGUUCCCGCGGCGAGGCCAAUCCUCCUGUUUCC
rnacentral:lncRNA from 1 species